UAGGGGACACAUGUCACCCAUCUAGAGCCUCAAAAUCUCAUUUUCCCGCCAUUUUCCUAAUCUCUUGAUUUUCCUUAUGUAAUACCCGACGCGGGAUCCGAAUAAGCAAUUUGGGUCACUUAUUGUUCCUUCCAUCAUACGUCUCUCUUCUCCAUCUCUAAUCUUCAUUCACAUCCUAGGGUUUAUGCAACUUCAUUCGCACCUAUAUCCUUCUCAUCCAAUCGCAUCCAUUCGCACAUCAUUCUGCCGACAUCUUCCGAAACCUAAUGGAUCCUUCAGUCGUUCAAUCUGUCGUUCCAUCCAAGCCUAUACAAUCCAAUGUUCCAUCAGGUACGAUUCCUUUCCUCACAAAACCUAAUCCAAAAAAUUAUGCUCUGUCUGAAAUGUCGCUGCCAAAAUCUUAUCAAGGUGAGUUUAUAUGAUUUCAAUUACAAAAUCAUCGUCACAAAUCUCUUGGAUUUUUCUUAAUUUAGAACUUUACAACGUUGAAUUUCACCGUACAUAACGCAAGAUGGAUUGAGAUUGCUUAGCGAACAAAACCCUAAUUCAGAGCUAUGGAAGGUCAUAAAACCCAAAAUUGCAAGGCCUGGUAGGGUUCCCGUUACCACCUGCGUGUGGGAUUGUGACGGGAAGUCAGUUGCACGUGGUAUUGGUGAUGACUCUAUACAGAUAUGGAGUAUAUAGCCUGGGAGGGAAAAUCGACCAGACAUUUAUGUAGCCAGUGACUAAAAGAAAUAAAUUACAGUUGUAUAUCAACACCAUAUUUGUCUUUUGAUGCAGGAAAUCAAGUGCUAUAGUUGAAGGUUAACAAGUAGGUUCCUCAUUCGACAAAGGAACAACAUGUUGGAAGGGUGCAGGAUAUUCAAGGAGCUCUACAAAUGAGAAAAAUGUACCUCCCAUCUAGAAGUGAGUCUAAUAUGUUGAUUAGGAUAAACUAUAUUAUAGGUUGCAUUGAAGUUUCAACACAAAAGCAACAAAGGAUGUAACAAUGAACCACCAUAUGAAUGGCAAGUUUACAAGUGAGCCUAUCAAAGCAACAGUGUUCAUGUGAAGAAGACUACCAACAGCGAUCAAGAAGAGUAACAGCCAAUGAAACAGCAUUAAUCAGUAGAUCUACAAUAGCGAGUCAAAAUCGAUUAAGCUGGCUCUGGUGUCCCUUUUUUAAUCAUAACGAAGCCAAAGAAUAUUGCAACUUGGUCAAUUAAACAAAGUUGUACGGAUCAAUGCGCUUAGUAGACGUGGUGAAGACAAGAACGAAUCAGAACCUAUGUGGUGCGGAAGAAGCCUGUGUGAAGUCGAGCAAUAACUAUGUGAACAACACCUAUUGAAUAUGUGUUAUAUUGGUUUGAGCCAAAAUCAAGAAUCCGAUAUGCGUGAAGAAAUUAAAUCCGUAUGAUAAGCGGCAACCUAAGAUCUUUUUAUGCAUUUAAAGUAAAAUUCGAGUUGCUGUCAACCCAUUUUUCCAUACCAGUUAGGACAAUGAACUAAGGGGAACUUUGCAGUCACUUGCUUGUGGGAAAAUCUGCGUCCUUCAAAAGCCAUGCCAGGUUCAAGCUGAUAAAAAUCCUAAUGACCCUCAAUCUAUCAAGAGAUGCAUUGAAGUAAUCGUUGCUGUGUGAAUAUGAAUACUUUUAGAGGAACAUAUGUAAUUAUACCUGUGUGUAGAUAAUCCUUGCUGUGAGUAUUUGUGGUGCAUUGAAAUCCUAUACAUGAUCCAUUUAGUAUUGUCUUUUCUUCAUUUGUAAAUUAUAAUUGUAAUUUAACUUUUUAUGUAAUUUCAUUUAUAUUUCGUUAAGUGUUGUUAAGGGCUACAAAGUGAUAGUUGACUUAUAGUGUCUCAAGAUUAUUUUCUUCAUUUACUUAUCUUUUCGGUUUUGUUAGAUCUAUAGUACGAUGUUUCGUUGUAUUUUAAUCCUUAACUUCAGAUUUCCAUAAUAAGUCUAUGCGUACAGUUUCUUUAUGAUCAGUAUAAACUUUUUUUUUCUAAAAAAAAGAAACAUAUCAUUUCUCAAUACCGCGAAAUUCGCGGGUAUUAGCACUAGUAUAAUUAUAUAAUACUCUAAUUUGUAACAUUUUGUUGCAUUAGAGGUUGUACCCUAUGUUUAAUUAGUGUUUCUUUAUAACUUGUGGAUACCACUUCCUCCUUUUUACUCAUUUUACCCUGAAGUCCUAAACUCAUAAACACACGUUUACAGAGCGAAAGAGAGACGGAGAGAGCACGACGUGAGAGAGAAACAAAUGAAAGGAAGUGGAAGCCGAUCACCCCAAUCCGUUGAAGGUGAUGAUGGCGACGACUCCGACAACCAGAUUGGCAGUGAUGGCAGCUAGGGUUCCAGUUUGGGGGUUUUGAAACCAGAUCGUCAAGGUGUUGAGGACGUCUGCAAUCUGGCUGGCGGCUAGGGUUCCAGUUAGAUCGUCUAAAGUCGUCUUGCUCGGAAUUCGUGGGAAAGACUCCCUUUUAGUGUAAGUCAUGGUGGGCUGGCACCGUCACGUGCAGUCUAUACUUCUACAUGUUGGAAAAAGAGCGGAAAACAUCUAUUAUACUCAUGCCACCUUUUCCACCUCUCCGUUGAAGUUCUCUCCGCUCCAAGCAGAGUUUAACUUCGGUUACUAUUUGAUGUUUACUAUCUCAUUUACAUGGCCUUUGUGUUCCACUGGCUGUCUCCAGACCUUUAUAUCACUAUUUCCAGCACUGAUAAUUUCAAGGCUUAAACAGGUGUUGAGCCUGUUAGACGAGGUGUGAGGUUCAAAACUGAGCAAAUCAUGGCAGGCGCUGCACCAGAAGGUUCCCAGUUUGACACUCGUCACUUUGAUUCCAAAAUGAACGAGCUGAUUUCUACUGAUGGACAGGAUUUUUUCACAUCGUAUGAUGAAGUUUAUGAUAUUUUUGAUGCUAUGGGUUUGCAAGAAAAUCUUUUAAGAGGCAUCUAUGCAUAUGGUACAAGUUUUUACAGCAGUUGUGGGAGAGGAUGCUUACAAACAUCUUGAAGUGGAUACAUGGCAAGAGCUCUCCUUAGACUGGCAAAGUGCCUAGCAUCAGUUUUGCUCCAGCUUAUGUAAUUAACUACAUCGAUGCGACAUAGUGAGAACCGACUAAAUCUCAAUAUAAAUUUAGCCCCCGCCGCAUCGCGGCGGGUUACAUUUCUAGUUAUAACUCUAAUUUCUAACAUUUCUAGGCAUUGGGUGUUGUACCCUAUGCUUUACUUAUUUACCUUGCAUUAACCUGCUUUUUGCUUUUUACCUGGAAGCGUGUAGAUUUGGUUUGCUUACAGCAACACACACCUUCUACACCACCAUACUGUAGCAUUGCGACCCCUCUUUUCCUUUUAUUUUCUUUCUUUUCUUUUCAUUGUGGAUGCCAGAACAAUAUCUACUUCACGAGCAAAACACAAGCAAUCCUUUUCUCUUCGCUGUUGGAACCUUUCAGGUGGUGGAAGGAGCGUGGCAGUGGCACCAGCGCCCCUUUAUCCCAUGCGUUUUAUUCCGUUUAAAGGCAUGAUGUGAACUUCUGGCAGCAUAUAUUGUGCCUGAGGAAAAUGGAUUUGAAUCCACAUCAUUAACAACAAUCAUGGACUUCUGGAAGCAAGCCUUUCGUGUUCGGACAGAGAAGUACCGUAUGUAUUUGGUGUUUGUUACUUCAAAGCAAGUACUUCGAGGGGCAUUCGGUGUCACCAGGGCUCUGUACUUGGAAAGGCAUGCGGUGUCUCCAGGAUUUUAAUUAUAGAUGAUGUAAAGAAGUGGUGGAUAUGAGGAUACUAGGUAUCUCCGACCCUUUGAUAGAUGAUGUAAAAACCGGCCCAUAAAUUGGUGUAAAUUAUGUUAAUGUAGUAGUACCAAAUAGCAUAUGAUUUCGGUCAAAUUGAUAUAUAGCCAGGAAAAUAAGAAAUACCUAUUGGUGAUA